UUUCGUUUUUUGUCAGAUUAUGCCGGGAAGGGUUUUCCGGUUUACCCCGGAGGGCUUGUAGCUCAGUUGGUUAGAGCGCGCGCUUGAUAAGCGUGAGGUCGGAGGUUCAAGUCCUCCCAGGCCCACCAAUUUAUGCUUGCUUAGAGGAAGAUUUUGUUCAGUGCGGUUCUUUUUAAGCGUUUCAAGCAGUUACUAUUUUUUUUAGGGGCCGUAGCUCAGCUGGGAGAGCACCUGCUUUGCAAGCAGGGGGUCGUCGGU
rnacentral:misc_RNA from 1 species